rnacentral:lncRNA from 1 species
UUUGAUUAGUGGUUCCAGGACUCCCCUUGACAGUCCAGGGAAGAUGGGCCGUGACCCAGAAGAGAAGAGAAGAGCCCAUCCAUGUGGUGUGAACUAGUCCAGAUUGAUGCCCACCGGCGGCGCCGAUCUCUACAUCCAUCUGAUGCGCCGUGCCGUGCCGUGACGUGACGAGACGAGAGAGGAAAUAAAUAAAGAAAUAUCCAUGAUCCAUCUCUAACCGACGCCUCCAUCCUCCAUCUCCAUCUCCAUCCCCAUCCGGCGCGAUGAUGCAAGCAAACUGAGGAGGAGUACGUGACGGACACCACCACCAAUCGCGCAGUCUACGGCGCACUGCGGCUGCGCGCGGGCCCCGCCCACN